rnacentral:rRNA from 1 species
AGAGUUUGAUCCUGGCUCAGGAUGAACGCUGGCGGCGUGCCUAAUACAUGCAAGUCGAGCGAACCACUUCGGUGGUGAGCGGCGAACGGGUGAGUAACACGUAGGUGAUCUACCCAUCAGACGGGGACAACGAUUGGAAACGAUCGCUAAUACCGGAUAGGACGAAAGUUUAAAGGUGCUUCUGGCACCGCUGAUGGAUGAGCGUGCGGCGCAUUAGCUAGUUGGUAGGGUAAAGGCCUACCAAGGCGACGAUGCGUAGCCGACCUGAGAGGGUGAACGGCCACACUGGGACUGAGACACGGCCCAGACUCCUACGGGAGGCAGCAGUAGGGAAUCUUCGGCAAUGGGCGAAAGCCUGACCGAGCAACGCCGCGUGAAUGAUGAAGGCCUUCGGGUUGUAAAAUUCUGUUAUAAGGGAAGAACGACUUUAGUAGGAAAUGGCUAAAGUGUGACGGUACCUUAUGAGAAAGCCACGGCUAACUACGUGCCAGCAGCCGCGGUAAUACGUAGGUGGCAAGCGUUAUCCGGAAUUAUUGGGCGUAAAGAGCGCGCAGGUGGUUGAUUAAGUCUGAUGUGAAAGCCCACGGCUUAACCGUGGAGGGUCAUUGGAAACUGGUCGACUUGAGUGCAGAAGAGGGAAGUGGAAUUCCAUGUGUAGCGGUGAAAUGCGUAGAGAUAUGGAGGAACACCAGUGGCGAAG